GUACACGCUGUGACUAGCAUAUCAAUAAGCGGAGGAAAAGAAACUAACAAGGAUUCCCCUAGUAACGGCGAGUGAAGCGGGAAGAGCUCAAAUUUGAAAUCUUAAAGGGUUUCCCUUUACGAAUUGUAGUUUAAAGAAGUGUUUUCUGUUGAGGUUUUGGUAAAAGUUCUUUGGAAUAGGACAUCAUAGAGGGUGAGAAUCCCGUAUUUGACCUUUACUUUCAACUUUGUGAUACACUUUCAAGGAGUCGGAUUGUUUGGGAAUGCAGUCCAAAAUGGGUGGUAAAUUUCAUCUAAAGCUAAAUAUUGGCGAGAGACCGAUAGCGAACAAGUACCGUGAGGGAAAGAUGAAAAGAACUUUGAAAAGAGAGUUAAACAGUACGUGAAAUUGUCAAAAGGGAAGCGUUUGACACCAGUGUUGUUUUUCUGAAAAUCAAUUAAAGAACUGUUUAUGCUAAGUUGUUUAGACUUUAUCAGCUAACUGUUUAGUUUUGAGCUUUUCUUUAAUGCACUUUUCAGUUAACAAGUCAACAUCAAUUUCUUUUGCUGUAAAAAAGCUUGAGGAAGGUGGCUUGAGAUUCGUCUUAAGUGUUUAUAGCCUCUUGCCUAUGCAGUCGGAGAGAUUGAGGUCUGCAGCGUAGAUCCUUCGGGGCUAAAUGCAUUUGUGCUAAGUUAUAGCAUUUCAUAGACAACUUGUUGACUAUGAUUUGUCUUGUAGCUUACUCGCUUAUGUUAUUUUACCUACGCUUAGGAUGUUGACAGCAGUAUAGACUGU
rnacentral:rRNA from 1 species